rnacentral:rRNA from 1 species
GACGAACGCUGGCGGCGUGCCUAAUACAUGCAAGUUGAGCGCUGAAGGUUGGUACUUGUACCGACUGGAUGAGCAGCGAACGGGUGAGUAACGCGUGGGGAAUCUGCCUUUGAGCGGGGGACAACAUUUGGAAACGAAUGCUAAUACCGCAUAAAAACUUUAAACACAAGUUUUAAGUUUGAAAGAUGCAAUUGCAUCACUCAAAGAUGAUCCCGCGUUGUAUUAGCUAGUUGGUGAGGUAAAGGCUCACCAAGGCGAUGAUACAUAGCCGACCUGAGAGGGUGAUCGGGCACAUUGGGACUGAGACACGGCCCAAACUCCUACGGGAGGCAGCAGUAGGGAAUCUUCGGCAAUGGACGAAAGUCUGACCGAGCAACGCCGCGUGAGUGAAGAAGGUUUUCGGAUCGUAAAACUCUGUUGGUAGAGAAGAACGUUGGGGAGAGUGGAAAGCUCAUCAAGUGACGGUAACUACCCAGAAAGGGACGGCUAACUACGUG